AAAUUUCCGGCCCUAGCAGCAGCACCUUCAUACUUCGUACUACCAGCGGCCAGCAGAACGCGAUUCCGGCAGCUUGGUGACCUUUUCCACUUAACCGCGGCAGAAGGUUUGCAACUCUCUGCCUUGGUUGCCUACCAUCUCCACUAUCCUGUUUGCUUUCAACCUCUUUCCUUCGCCGUUUUAACCUUCCAUUUCCAGCUUUCGAUUCCCUUCUCUAACCUGGGAAAUGGAAAGACAGGGACUCGAUGCCAAGGUCUCAACUAACGAUUGCAAGAGUGAAAAUGUCUCCAGGAAGCGAAAACUUGCAGAACAUAGAAAGUCACUUCCAGUAGCUUCCGUUGAAAGUUCGCUCAUGCAAGAGGUGCUUAGAAACGAUACAUUGAUUAUCGUUGGUGAAACUGGGAGUGGAAAAACGACGCAAAUACCACAGUUCCUGUUUAAUGCUGGAUUUUGUCGAGAUGGCAAAGCUAUAGGGGUGACCCAACCUCGGCGUGUUGCUGCUGUAACUGUGGCAAAAAGAGUCGCCGAGGAAUGUGGUGUUGAAGUGGGGCAAAAGGUUGGGUAUUCUAUCAGAUUUGAGGAUGUAACUUCUAGUUCCACAAGAAUCAAGUACAUGACAGAUGGUCUACUGCUAAGGGAGGCAUUGUUGGACCCUUAUCUUUCAAGAUAUUCAGUUAUCAUUGUUGAUGAAGCUCAUGAGAGAACGGUUAAUACUGAUGUAUUGCUAGGAUUUUUGAAAAAAGUGCAGAAAACAAGAUCUAGGUCUUUGAAUGACUCUUUUAAUACAGAGAAUAUGAAUACUAAUGGCAAAUUAGAAAAGGGAAAUAAUGGCAAAUAUGUAAGUUCCCUCAGGCAACAUCGAGGAAGAAAACUGCAUCCAUUGAAGUUAAUUAUCAUGUCUGCCAGCUUAGAUGCACGACUUUUUUCUGAGUACUUUGGUGGUGCAAAGGCUUUUCGUGUCCAAGGCCGUCAAUAUCCAGUAGCUAUAUCUUAUACUCGUAAGCAUGUAUUAGAUUAUACGGAGGCCACUCUUAUUACUAUAUUUCAGAUUCAUUUGGAGGAGAGUCCUGGUGACAUACUUGCCUUUUUGACUGGGCAAGAUGAGAUAGAAUCUAUUGAAACUCUUGCUAAGGAGACAAUUCAAAAGUUACCUGAAAGCAAACGGAAUUUAGUAGUUAUACCUAUAUAUUCGGCACUUCCAUCGGAGCAACAAUUGCGAGUUUUUGCCCCAACUCCACCUGGAGUUCGUAAGGUGAUAUUAGCGACAAAUAUUGCUGAGACAUCUGUGACAAUACCUGGAAUCAAGUAUGUUAUUGAUCCUGGAUUUGUAAAAGCGCGCACUUAUGAUCCAAAUAAAGGGAUGGAGUCGUUGAUUGUUUUUCCAACCUCAAAAGCACAAGCACUACAAAGGAGUGGGCGUGCAGGCCGUGAAGGACCUGGAAAAUGCUUCCGUCAAUAUCCUGAGGAUAUGUUUUAUAAACUUGAGGAUUCAACAAAGCCGGAGAUCAAGAGAUGCAACCUUUCUAAUGUCAUUUUACAGUUGACGGCUUUAGGUGUUGAUAAUGUCACGGAAUUUGAUUUCUUGGAAGCACCACCAAGGCAAGCUAUUUUCAAGUCGUUGGAGCAGUUGAUUCUGCUUGGGGCUAUUACCAAUGACGGAAAACUAAAACUAUCUGAUCCUGUAGGACAUCAGAUGGCUCGUAUUCCAUUAGAUCCAAUAUACUCUAAAGCUCUGAUUGUUGCCAGUCAGUUCAACUGUUUGGAAGAAAUGUUGAUAACUGUGUCAAUGCUGUCAGUGGAAUCCAUUUUUUACCAUCCUCGUGAAAAGCAAGAAGAGGCAAGAGCUAAAAUGAAAUGUUUUUCAAGUCCAGAAGGUGAUCAUCUCACUCUAAUCAAUGUUUAUCGAUCUGCUGUGGACUUUUUGAAUAAGAAAAAGUUGGAACUUAGCAAAGAAAAAUUGGAGAAAAGCUUGAGAAAGUGGUGCAAAGAAAAUUUUAUCAAUAGUAGAUCUUUGAGACACGCACGUGACAUUCACAGUCAAAUUAGACGACAUGUUGAACAAAUGGGCCUUCCUCUUAACUCUUGUGGAGAUGACAUGCUUCAGUUUUGUAGAUGCCUUGCUGGUUCCUUUUUUCUCAACGUUGCCACAAAGCAGCCUGAUGGAACAUACAGGGAUUUUUCCAGUGGCGAGGUGGUACAGAUUCAUCCUUCUUCAGUGUUAUUUCGUAAAAAACCAGAUUGUGUAAUUUUCAAUGAAUUCGUGCAAACUAAUAACAAAUACAUCCGCAAUAUCACUAAAGUUGAUCGACUUUGGCUGUUGGAACUGGCUCCCCAUUAUCAUGCUUCGAAAAGCUAAAUUGAUCUGUUCAUGUUUGAAUAGUUUGGUGGCAUACAACAUUGGACUGCUCCACUCCAGAAGGUAUUCGGGGAAGUCAUUUCAACAGAAAGGUUUUCUUUAUAUAAAGCAGGUCAACUAAAUUUUUGGAUUCCGCCACCGUUAGUGAGGGUUAUACAGUGGAUUGAAAAUUUGAAGCAGAAUACAAAUUUUGUAGGAAUGAGAUCAGCGGACAUUCAAAUCGCUUUUUCCACCACCUUCUCCAUCUUUCGGAAUCAAAAUUGAAAUCAGGAUGGGAUCGGAGCCAAUAGAGAAUUCUUGUGCCCACAUAGUGAAAGUUGUUCAUUUUGUGUAAUUAUAUUAAUUUAGAUAACUAUAGGGUAACAAAUUGUCAUGUCUCUAUUCUCAAAUUAAUUUGGUGUCAACUAAAAGUUGGCACGUGUUUUCAAUUAAUCUCAUUUAGUCGUAUGUUUUCAUUAUGAUCCUUUGGUUAAGGAACUGUAGCUUUGAUGAAUUGGGUCACAUAACAUUGAUAGUUUUAGGGAAGUAUUCUAUAUUCAUGCAGAUAUUUCAAAUUAAUAUUCACUGCAUGUCAAGGGUGUAGUAACAUACUGGCUAUGAUUUACUUUUUUGGUAUAAAUUGCAUAAUUAUUCAGUUUUAUUGUACCAA